GAUUGAUCCCGUCGGACCCUACUGCUAUCGAGAUGGGACUAAAGUAUGCUAGUCGAACGACCAGAACUAUGUCUGGAAGUGGCACACUGCUCAGUAACACGUAGCUAACCUACCCUUAGGACGUGGAUACCCCCGAGAAAUUGGGGUUAAUCCGCGAUAGAUGUAAUGUCCUGGAAUGGUAUUACGUCUAAAGGUAUUUCAUACAUGUUUGAAAUAUGCCUAAGGAUGGGGCUGCGGCCGAUCAGGCUGUUGGUGAGGUAAUGGCUCACCAAACCUUUGACCGGUACGGGCCAUGAGAGUGGUAGCCCGGAGAUGGACACUGAGACAAGGGUCCAGGCCCUAAGGGGCGCAGCAACCGCGAAACCUCCACAAUGCACUCACGUGCGAUGGGGCUAUCUCGAGUGCCACCUGAUGAAGGUGCUUUUCCUUGGUCUUCAAAGCCUUGGGAAUAAGAGGGGGGCAAGACUGGUGUCAGCCGCCGCGGUAACACCAGCCCCUCGAGUGGUGGGGAUGAUUAUUUGGCCUAAAGCGUCCGUAGCCGGCCAUGUAAGUCUCCCGUUAAAUCCAGCGUCUCAAGCGUUGGACAGCGGGAGAUACUGCAGGGCUAGAGAGUGGGAGAGGUCAGCGGUAUUCUGGGGGUAGGGGCGAAAUCCUUUGAUCCCCGGAGGACCACCAGUGACGAAGGCUGCUGACUAGAACACGUCUGACGGUCAGGGACGAAAGCUGGGGUAGCGAACCGGAUUAGAUACACGGGUAGUCCCAGCCGUAAACGAUGCAUGCUAGGUGUUGGGUUGGCCACGCGCCACCCCAGUGCCGCAGGGAAGCCGUUAAGCAUGCCCCUGGGAAGUACGAUCGCAAGAUUGAAACUUAAAGGAAUUGGCGGGGGAGCACCACCAGGCGUGAAGCCUGCGGUUUAAUUGGAGUCAACGCCGGGAACCUUACCGGGAGCGACAGCAGAGUGAAGGCCAGAUUGAAGAUCUUGCCAGACGAGCUGAGAGGAGGUGCAUGGCCGUCGCCAGUUCGUGCCGUGAGGUGUUCUCUUAAGUGAGAUAACGAACGAGACCCGUGCCACAUGUUGCCACCAGUAUCUAAAGGAUAGCUGAGCACUCUUGUGGGACCGCAGCCGAUAAGGCUGAGGAAGGUACGGGCAACGGCAGGUCAGUAUGCCCCGAAUCUCCCGGGCCACACGCGGGCUGCAAUGGUACAGACAGAGGGCUGCCACCCCGAGAGGGGGAGCCAAUCCCUAAACUGUACCUCAGUUGGGAUCGAGGGUUGCAACCCACCCUCGUGAACAUGGAAUGCCUAGUAACCGCCAGUCAUCAUCUGGCGGUGAAUACGUCCCUGCUCCUUGCACACACUGCCCGUCGAACCACCCGAAUGAGGUUUGGGUGAGGAAUGGUCGAAUGUUGGCCGUUUCGAACCUGGGCCUCGUAAGGAGGGUUAAGUCGUAACAAGGUG
rnacentral:rRNA from 1 species